UGGGAAUUUUGGACAAUGGGCGCAAGCCUGAUCCAGCCAUGCCGCGUGCGGGAAGAAGGCCUUCGGGUUGUAAACCGCUUUUGUCAGGGAAGAAAUCUUCUGAGUUAAUACCUCGGGAGGAUGACGGUACCUGAAGAAUAAGCACCGGCUAACUACGUGCCAGCAGCCGCGGUAAUACGUAGGGUGCAAGCGUUAAUCGGAAUUACUGGGCGUAAAGCGUGCGCAGGCGGUUUUGUAAGACAGAGGUGAAAUCCCCGGGCUCAACCUGGGAACUGCCUUUGUGACUGCAAGGCUUGAGUGCGGCAGAGGGGGAUGGAAUUCCGCGUGUAGCAGUGAAAUGCGUAGAUAUGCGGAGGAACACCGAUGGCGAAGGCAAUCCCCUGGGCCUGCACUGACGCUCAUGCACGAAAGCGUGGGGAGCAAACAGGAUUAGAUACCCUGGUAGUCCACGCCCUAAAACGAUGUCAACUGGUUGUUGGGAAGGUUCCUUCUCAGUAACGUAGCUAACGCGUGAAGUUGACCGCCUGGGGAGUACGGCCGCAAGGUUGAAACUUAAAUGAAUUGACGGGG
rnacentral:rRNA from 1 species